CAGUAGCCGCGGGAAUACAGAGGGUGCGAGCGUUAAUCGGAUUUACUGGGCGUAAAGCGUGCGUAGGCGGCUAAUUGAGUCGGAUGUGAAAUCCCCGAGCUUAACUUGGGAAUUGCAUUCGAUACUGGGAAGCUAGAGUAUGGGAGAGGAUGGUAGAAUUCCAGGUGUAGCGGUGAAAUGCGUAGAGAUCUGGAGGAAUACCGAUGGCGAAGGCAGCCAUCUGGCCUAAUACUGACGCUGAGGUACGAAAGCAUGGGGAGCAAACAGGAUUAGAUACCCCUGUAGUCCCUGUCUCUUAUAC
rnacentral:rRNA from 1 species